UGGGGAAUAUUGGACAAUGGGGGCAACCCUGAUCCAGCAAUGCCGCGUGAGUGAAGAAGGCCCUAGGGUUGUAAAACUCUUUCACUGAUGAAGAUGAUGACGGUAAUCAGAGAAGAAGCCCCGGCUAACUCCGUGCCAGCAGCCGCGGUAAUACGGAGGGGGCUAGCGUUGUUCGGAUUUACUGGGCGUAAAGCGCACGUAGGCGGCGUGACAAGUCAGAGGUGAAAGCCCUGGGCUCAACCUGGGAACGGCCUUUGAGACUGUCAUGCUUGAGUUCGGGAGAGGGUAGUGGAAUUCCAAGUGUAGAGGUGAAAUUCGUAGAUAUUUGGAAGAACACCGGUGGCGAAGGCGGCUACCUGGUCCGAUACUGACGCUGAGGUGCGAAAGCGUGGGGAGCGAACAGGAUUAGAUACCCCCGUAGUCC
rnacentral:rRNA from 1 species